UAGGUAAGUAGGUAGGUAGGUAGGUAGGUAGGUAGGUAGGUAGGUAAGUAGGUAGGUAGGUAGGUAAGUAGGUAAGUAGGUAAGUAGGUAAGUAGGUAGG